rnacentral:rRNA from 1 species
AGCGAACGCUGGCGGCAGGCCUAACACAUGCAAGUCGAACGGUCCCUUCGGGGGCAGCGGCGGACGGGUGAGUAACACGUGGGAACGUGCCCUUUGGUUCGGGCUAACUCUGGGACACUAGAGCUAACACCGGAUACGCCGGAAACGGGAAAGGUUACGCCGAAGGAGCGGCCCGCGUUCGAUUAGGUAGUUGGUGGGGUAACGGCCCACCAAGCCGAGGAUCGAUAGCUGGUCUGAGGGGAUGAUCAGCCACACUGGGACUGAGACACGGCCCAAACUCCUACGGGAGGCAGAAGGGGUGAAUCAUGCGCAAUGGGCGAAAGCCUGAGGCAGCCAUGCCGCGUGAAUGAUGAAGGUCUUAGGAUUGUAAAAUUCUUUCAGCGGGGACGAUAAUGACGGUACCCGCAGAAGAAGCCCCGGCUAGCUUCGUGCCAGCAGCCGCCGUAACAC